AAAUUGAAGAGUUUGAUCAUGGCUCAGAUUGAACGCUGGCGGCAGGCCUAACACAUGCAAGUCGAGCGGUAGCACAGAGAGCUUGCUCUCGGGUGACGAGCGGCGGACGGGUGAGUAAUGUCUGGGAAACUGCCUGAUGGAGGGGGAUAACUACUGGAAACGGUAGCUAAUACCGCAUAAUGUCGCAAGACCAAAGUGGGGGACCUUCGGGCCUCAUGCCAUCAGAUGUGCCCAGAUGGGAUUAGCUAGUAGGUGGGGUAACGGCUCACCUAGGCGACGAUCCCUAGCUGGUCUGAGAGGAUGACCAGCCACACUGGAACUGAGACACGGUCCAGACUCCUACGGGAGGCAGCAGUGGGGAAUAUUGCACAAUGGGCGCAAGCCUGAUGCAGCCAUGCCGCGUGUGUGAAGAAGGCCUUCGGGUUGUAAAGCACUUUCAGCGGGGAGGAAGGCGGUGAGGUUAAUAACCUCAUCGAUUGACGUUACCCGCAGAAGAAGCACCGGCUAACUCCGUGCCAGCAGCCGCGGUAAUACGGAGGGUGCAAGCGUUAAUCGGAAUUACUGGGCGUAAAGCGCACGCAGGCGGUCUGUCAAGUCGGAUGUGAAAUCCCCGGGCUCAACCUGGGAACUGCAUUCGAAACUGGCAGGCUAGAGUCUUGUAGAGGGGGGUAGAAUUCCAGGUGUAGCGGUGAAAUGCGUAGAGAUCUGGAGGAAUACCGGUGGCGAAGGCGGCCCCCUGGACAAAGACUGACGCUCAGGUGCGAAAGCGUGGGGAGCAAACAGGAUUAGAUACCCUGGUAGUCCACGCCGUAAACGAUGUCGAUUUGGAGGUUGUGCCCUUGAGGCGUGGCUUCCGGAGCUAACGCGUUAAAUCGACCGCCUGGGGAGUACGGCCGCAAGGUUAAAACUCAAAUGAAUUGACGGGGGCCCGCACAAGCGGUGGAGCAUGUGGUUUAAUUCGAUGCAACGCGAAGAACCUUACCUGGUCUUGACAUCCACAGAACUUUCCAGAGAUGGAUUGGUGCCUUCGGGAACUGUGAGACAGGUGCUGCAUGGCUGUCGUCAGCUCGUGUUGUGAAAUGUUGGGUUAAGUCCCGCAACGAGCGCAACCCUUAUCCUUUGUUGCCAGCGGUUCGGCCGGGAACUCAAAGGAGACUGCCAGUGAUAAACUGGAGGAAGGUGGGGAUGACGUCAAGUCAUCAUGGCCCUUACGACCAGGGCUACACACGUGCUACAAUGGCAUAUACAAAGAGAAGCGACCUCGCGAGAGCAAGCGGACCUCAUAAAGUAUGUCGUAGUCCGGAUUGGAGUCUGCAACUCGACUCCAUGAAGUCGGAAUCGCUAGUAAUCGUAGAUCAGAAUGCUACGGUGAAUACGUUCCCGGGCCUUGUACACACCGCCCGUCACACCAUGGGAGUGGGUUGCAAAAGAAGUAGGUAGCUUAACCUUCGGGAGG
rnacentral:rRNA from 1 species